AGGCAUAGACCUCCUAAGAAAGGCAGGAGCCACAAUAACCUGGGACAACAACACUGAAAAUACACCGAAAGUCACCGAAAUCGCCGCACCAGAAUCAACGCCACCAGACAAUAAUAUAAUAAACGGCCCAAGAAAAUCAAAAUCCCGCAAGCAAAAGAAAAAACCCAGCCAACUACAACCACCAAGAUAUCCCGACACAGCUUCAAUCCAGGAGCGAAAAGGAUGGUUCGAGAGGAAAAUGACCGAAACCCAAAAAUCACCUGAAAAGGACCCAACAUUCACAAUCAAAAACGGCUCACUCCAUAAACGAAUUGUAAAUCCGAGGUACGGGGUCAAGAUCAAUUCACAAUCGCAGUGGAAAAUAUGCGUUCCGACAGUGAAAAGAAGGUCGAUUAUCGAGCAACACCUUAAUGAACCGACAACAACAGGCCACCGAAACACGGGAAAAAUCCUAAAAAGCAUUGCUGAAACAUAUUACUGGCCCGGGAUGUACAAAGAUGUUCUUCAUCAUAUGAAAAAGUACAAAGAACGACUAAAAUCAUCGUCAUCAAACUCGCUGCAACCAAAUUCCACCGAACCGAAGCAGUAAUAACCUACCGACGACGUCAUCACCCAUCGCCAGAUGUGCCUAGCCGCGGUACUCAUGCGAUGCCGAACGAACCGAUUAUUCCAAACCUACCCUCAAUCAUCAACAUAAUGAAGAUUGAAGACAAAUAGCCAUAAAAAGUUUAAACAUUUUUAUAUUUAUGAACUAGUCAUUCCGUACCGUACCGCAUAAAGCUUUAUUAUGUAUAAUUUGUAAUUUAAUUAUAGAUAUACAACCGAAAAACCGCAAUCUAUAUUGAAAAUAUAGAAAUAGGUAAAAAUGUAAACGCAAAUGCACACAUUUUACACCGUCCGUCCGUAGUAUAAUAUAAUAUAAGUAAAUAAUAGACACACAGACAUGUUAAACUUAUAACAUCCACCUUUUUCCAUCCAAGUCACAAGUAAAAUUUAGACAAAACUUAGAAUAAAGAUUGUAAAUUUUUGAACGCAGCCCAAUACGUUACUCUGUGAACGUACACAGGUUAGAAUUUUAGUUGUCAAGUCAAUGUCAAGUGUCAAACCGACCGAGUAAAUUUCAGCGCAAGGGCACAUGCCGUAUAAAUUUUAAUUUAUUUGAUAUGUAAACAAUUUAAAACCGUAAAGCUGAAACCGUAUACCUAAUGUAAUUAACAGGAAAAUGUAUAUCAGUACACAAUAAGUUAUAUACACAUAGCCUACAAUGUAAAAAUUCUUCUGCUGAGGGGGGAGAAUGUAACGAGCCGUUACAAACCAACCGUCCAUCACACCUACCCUCACACCGCAGCCACAAGAGCGCCCGGCGUGUGCGAGACGAGGCGGGGCACCACACAGACGACUCCGGAGAAUACAAGGGGCGCGGGGCGGCCCGCCUAUAAAUAGCCGCCGGACCGCCGCUAGAGCACCAUUCGCCACCUCCUAUUCCGACGAGUGAUCAUUCCGUUCCCGAGAUCCCUCCCCGCACCCAUAUCUAUUCAAGUAAUCUAUUCACGCACACUAAUCUCACAACACCGGUCUCCCCGCGAGGUAGGUUGCUCAACGGACCGAGGUCUCUCGGAUAUAUGGAUGCCUGGGGUGCCUAGUUUAAAGCAUCCGUAUACCCGACUAGACCCGACACAGUGGGCUGCCUAAUUAGCGGACCGAGGUCCCCCGGAUACGUACAUGGAUGCCUGGGUUGCCUAGUUUAAAGCAUCUGUGUAAGUACCGAACUAUACAAUCACCGAACACACACCGGCCUUCAGCCACAUUCUUGUCGACACAAAUACACUCCACAAACCCUGGAACAAGUCCACACGCACCACCGGUAUUCGCCCGACCUCCUGUACCCUGUAUCCUUCCCCUUAUUAAGAUAGGAACAUCCGCGUAGGCCCCUUCAGGGCCCGACCAAUAUAAAUAUCAAUAAUCGUGA